rnacentral:rRNA from 1 species
CUUUCUACAGGCUUAACACAUGCAAGUCGAGGGGCAGCAUUUCAGUUUGCUUGCAAACUGGAGAUGGCGACCGGCGCACGGGUGAGUAACACGUAUCCAACCUGCCGAUAACUCGGGGAUAGCCUUUCGAAAGAAAGAUUAAUACCCGAUGGUAUAAUCAGACCGCAUGGUCUUGUUAUUAAAGAAUUUCGGUUAUCGAUGGGGAUGCGUUCCAUUAGGCAGUUGGUGAGGUAACGGCUCACCAAACCUUCGAUGGAUAGGGGUUCUGAGAGGAAGGUCCCCCACAUUGGAACUGAGACACGGUCCAAACUCCUACGGGAGGCAGCAGUGAGGAAUAUUGGUCAAUGGGCGCAGGCCUGAACCAGCCAAGUAGCGUGAAGGAUGACUGCCCUAUGGGUUGUAAACUUCUUUUAUAUGGGAAUAAAGUUUUCCACGUGUGGAAUUUUGUAUGUACCAUAUGAAUAAGGAUCGGCUAACUCCGUGCCAGCAGCCGCGGUAAUACGGAGGAUCCGAGCGUUAUCCGGAUUUAUUGGGUUUAAAGGGAGCGUAGGUGGACAGUUAAGUCAGUUGUGAAAGUUUGCGGCUCAACCGUAAAAUUGCAGUUGAUACUGGCUGUCUUGAGUACAGUAGAGGUGGGCGGAAUUCGUGGUGUAGCGGUGAAAUGCUUAGAUAUCACGAAGAACUCCGAUUGCGAAGGCAGCUCACUGGACUGCAACUGACACUGAUGCUCGAAAGUGUGGGUAUCAAACAGGAUUAGAUACCCUGGUAGUCCACACAGUAAACGAUGAAUACUCGCUGUUUGCGAUAUACAGUAAGCGGCCAAGCGAAAGCAUUAAGUAUUCCACCUGGGGAGUACGCCGGCAACGGUGAAACUCAAAGGAAUUGACGGGGGCCCGCACAAGCGGAGGAACAUGUGGUUUAAUUCGAUGAUACGCGAGGAACCUUACCCGGGCUUAAAUUGCAUUUGAAUAUAUUGGAAACAGUAUAGCCGUAAGGCAAAUGUGAAGGUGCUGCAUGGUUGUCGUCAGCUCGUGCCGUGAGGUGUCGGCUUAAGUGCCAUAACGAGCGCAACCCUUAUCUUUAGUUACUAACAGGUCAUGCUGAGGACUCUAGAGAGACUGCCGUCGUAAGAUGUGAGGAAGGUGGGGAUGACGUCAAAUCAGCACGGCCCUUACGUCCGGGGCUACACACGUGUUACAAUGGGGGGUACAGAAGGCAGCUACCUGGUGACAGGAUGCUAAUCCCAAAAGCCUCUCUCAGUUCGGAUCGAAGUCUGCAACCCGACUUCGUGAAGCUGGAUUCGCUAGUAAUCGCGCAUCAGCCAUGGCGCGGUGAAUACGUUCCCGGGCCUUGUACACACCGCCCGUCAAGCCAUGAAAGCCGGGGGUACCUGAAGUACGUAACCGCAAGGAGCGUCCUAGGGUAAAACUGGUAAUUGG